UAGAAUUCAGUGAUAAGGAAGAGUAGUUAAAUCUGAUUAUUUAAAGAGAGCUGAGGAUGGUGGAAUCUCGGUAAUAUAGGUUUUAUGAAUGGACCUUAUAGAAGUAAACCGAAAUCCUUUAAGGAAAGUAGUAUUUACCGGAAGCCUACCGUUAAAAAGGACAGGAUAUGUUAGUAUCCCAGUAGAGAUGUGCAUUUUUGCAUAAUUUAGGUGGUACCGCGAUAAUACCUUCGCCCUAAUU
rnacentral:ncRNA from 1 species